rnacentral:autocatalytically_spliced_intron from 1 species
GUGCGACCUGAGGUCGUAUGAAGCGCUGUUCACCGCGAUAAGAGUGAACCAUCUGUAUCACCAGAUGACCCUAAGACUCUGAAUAAAGCAGCGAGUCUGACAAUGUAACGAUAUUUGGCUUUAUGCCGAAUGGGAACAGAACCGUGAGAGGACGUUCUUCCUGAUAACCACAAUCGGGUAAGUGCUAGGGUGUCAGUAUGAUGAACGUAAGUGAAUCCAUAUAAGGUGCGUUAUACGUGAAACAGCGGAAGUGGUUAAUACGCUGUGGCCAAAAGGCACGAGAGUUGGAAAGAGAUUGGACAGUGCUCUUUCGUGAUCAAAUAACUCUCCGCACUAUAGUGGGCAUCUAACCUGACGUUGCGCGACAUACGGAACAGGGUAAGCCUGUAUUGCUCCCUUUGGGAAAGUGGUCUGCGAAGGCUGCCGAUAGUCAUGCAGGUAAAGGAGGCUAGAAAAAGCAAAUGCCGCAUUGUAAUGAUACGGAUACUGAUUUUAUCAGGCGCGAAAGCGAGCUGACUUCUAGCUGGUCUCUCGUUGCAAGAUGAUUUGAAGAACUUUAUUUAAGGAGAAACGCAAAUGAUGGCUUCAAAUGAAGUUAGUGCACCUCCUGACAAUGCUCAAUGGCAAUCCAUUAACUGGAAGGCGGUUAAGCAACAUGUAUUAAAGCUUCAAAUGCGCAUUGCAAAAGCAACCCGAGAAGGUAAACAAGGCAAGGCGAAAGCAUUGCAGUGGAUAUUAACCCACUCUACAUCAGCAAAAUUGCUUGCUGUUAAAAGAGUUUCUCAAAAUAAAGGCAGCAAAACACCAGGGAUCGACGGCAUUAUUUGGAAUAGUGAUGCUCGUUGUAUGACUGCGGUGAAUCAACUGAGCCGGAAAGGCUAUCAUGCCAAACCGCUCAGGCGUAUCUACAUCCCCAAGAAAAACGGCAAAUUCAGACCUUUAGGCAUACCCUGUAUGAUAGAUAGAGCGCAGCAAGCGCUUCAUCUUCUCGCCUUGGAGCCUAUUUCGGAAACGGUGGCCGACCUCAAUAGCUAUGGCUUUCGACCUAACCGAAGCGCAGCAGAUGCAAUUGCACAGUGCUUCAAAUGUUUAUGUAUGAAGCGCUCUAGCCAAUGGGUUCUUGAGGGUGACAUCAAAGCUUGUUUCGAUAAGAUAGGUCAUCAAUGGCUCAUCGACAACAUUCAAUUAGAUAAGCGAAUGCUGAAACAAUGGCUUGGAUGUGGUUAUGUUGAUAAAGGAUUGUUCUACAAAACAGCAGAAGGAACACCGCAAGGCGGGAUAAUCUCCCCAACGCUGAUGUUGCUCACGCUGGCUGGGUUAGAACAAUUGGUUAAGUCUAUUGCCUGUAAAACAGGUAAUAGGGUCAACUUUAUCGGAUAUGCAGACGAUUUUGUUAUCACAGGUUCUUCGAAGGAAGUGCUCGUUAAUGAAAUCAAGCCGCAACUAAUUGGUUUUCUACAGGAAAGAGGCCUAACACUCUCUGAUGAGAAAACGCACAUAACUCAUAUCGAUGAUGGUUUUGACUUUCUGGGAUUCAAUAUCAGGAAGUACAACGGCAAACUGCUCAUUAAACCGAGUAAGAGCAACGUUCUAUCAUUUUUGAGUAAUCUACGUGAAUUCAUCAGAAAACAUCCAACAAUCCCCGUUAACGAUUUAAUUAAAAUACUGAAUCCGAAACUGAGAGGAUGGGCGAACUAUUAUCGCCACAGUGUUGCAAAGCAAGUUUUCGGUUAUGUAGGGCAUCAACUUUUCUGGUUGUUAUGGCGUUGGGCCGUUAGGCGUCAUCCAACUAAAAGUAAGGACUGGGUGAGGCGUAAAUACUAUAUGAAUCGCAUAGGAGGAUGGCAAUUUCACGGUUGGCAAAAAAUCGCCAACAUGGACUGCUAUUUUAAUCUGGUUCAGAUAGCUCAAACGCUGAUAAAGAGACAUGUGAAAAUCAGGAGCGCAGCCAUACCUUACGACCCCGAAUACGAAGCGUACUUAAGUAAGCGGAAACGGGCAAAGGAAGGUCGAAACUCUUGGUUCGAUCCUGUCUUAGCUGCUAUGUAGGGUGCUGGGUAACAGAACACGCCUUAGCGGAGGCUUGAGCCGUAUGCAGUGAAAGUUGCAUGUACGGUUCUUAGGAGGGCGGUACUUGGUAACAAGUGCCGCCUAUCCGAC